rnacentral:lncRNA from 1 species
UGACAAUAUAUUCAUUGGUCUCAGAGUCCUAAACUUAAGGAAGAUGGAUGACUUUGGGACAGAUAUCAAAAUUUUGUUCAGAUAUCAAAAUUUAUGGACAUAUAUAGUCACAGCUAGAGCAUAGUCAUAGGACCCUCAUUGUUUCUUCCUUAAUCUGGCCCAUUAGUCACAAAUAGGGCCUGUUCUUAUGACCUGGCUAGGCCGGAGACAACAUUUGCCAGUAUUGCCGAUAUACUAUCUUGCUACUAUCCUGGCUAAGCACAAGGUAUCCGUUGCCAGAAUCCCAACUAUGUCAUUUAACGCUAAUGACAUUAGUACUAGUCAUCGUUUACCAACAACAGGUAACAUGAUCCCACCUAUAAUAGUUAAAUUUACCAGACGAGACGUACGAGACAAAAUAUAUCAAUCGAAGCGUCGCCNNNNNNNNNNNNNNNNNNNNGGAUAUUCGCAAGAUGCGAAGUUAUAUAUCAACGAGAGCUUGACCAGAAAGAUGCGAAUCCUUUUUAAAGAAGUGAGAGCUUUCAAAAGGAGCCACGACUAUAAGUUUGCUUGGACGAAGAAUGGUACGGUGUUUUUGAAAAAAACCGCUAACCCAUCGUAAAACCCGCAAAACACUUUUACGUCUAUUGACGAGUUUAAAGGAUGGACAAAUUCUCUCAACAUUGAAGGAUAGAUUUUGCAUAAUUAUUGAUAAGUAUUAUCUUAAUCUGUUUUAACAAUGGCGUGUGUUAAUGACCUGCCCUUUAAACAUAUUUUCCCAUUUAAUCACCUAGACUAGAAAAUACAUGCAUGCAG